UACGUAGGGGGCAAGCGUUGUCAGGAUUUAUUGGGCGUAAAGGGCGCGUAGGCGGUUUCUUAAGUUUGAAGUGACAGUGGGUGGCUUAACUACCCAAGGCCUUCGAAAACUGGGGAACUUGAGGACCAGAGAGGGACAUAGAAUUCCGGGUGGAGUGGUGAAAUGCGUAGAUAUCCGGAGGAAUACCAAAGGCGAAGGCAGUGUCCUGGAGGGUUAACUGACGCUGAGGCGCGAAAGCUAGGGGAGCGAACAGG
rnacentral:rRNA from 1 species